GAAAUUUUUAACGACACGCGCCGAGUUUAAGAUACCUAAACANCGUGNGNCGGUUGGUUUUAANGAUCUCAACACUGGCCGGCUCGUUUUACAGCCUAACACAUGCAGUCGAACGGCAGCACAGGAGAGCUUGCUCUCCGGGUGGCGAGUGGCGGACGGGUGAGGAAUACAUCGGAAAUCUACAUCUGGAUCGUGGAGAGAGAUAACGAUAGGGNAAACUUUACGNUCCUAAAUACUCGACAUAUCGAACCCUACGGGUGAACAGCAAGNGGGAAUCCUUCGGAACCUUUGCCGCGAAUUGAACACGUUGGGACGGCGCUGACACAUUGAGUACCUGGNGAACAUUUUAACGGCCUUCAUCGUNUAUUAGGCGGCCCGACGGGCGGGUUAAAAAAUGGUGGACACCUCCAAUCUCGAAAAACGGGGACCUGGAAACCGGGAGAAAUUACCCCGGGUUUAAAGNGCCCCUUUGGGGGUUNCCUUUGGCAAAGGGAAAGGUGGGAAAANCUUUAGGGCAACACUGUCCCCCCAAGAGGGGUCCAGCACCACAAGAAAGGCCCCAAAGACCCCAUUCUGGGAGGGAAAACAAAACACCCCUUUUUGNGGGGCAAACAGGGGAAAAGACCNCAACAAGCCACCCAGGNGGAGAAGUUGCCUACUACCCCCAGACAAAAGGNUGGUAACAUACCUACCANUAUUAUAGCCAGCCACCGCCGUNUAUGAAAANACCCUCAGAGAGGGGCUGGCNGACGGGAAAAAACAGAGGNGGGGGGGGGGCCCACACAACAGUAGGAUCACGCAAGCAAAGAGGGCAGAUUAUGAGCGNACGGCGCGC
rnacentral:rRNA from 1 species